rnacentral:tRNA from 1 species
UGGGGCGUGGUGUAACGGCAGCAUACCGGACUUUGAAUCCGUUGAUCUAGGUUCGAAUCCUGGCGCCCCAGCCU